AAGUUGGUUAGCUCGAAUCUCGUAAGAUGUACCAUUACUCUAAAAACACCAAAGUAGAGAUAUAAGAUACCACAUUUUUCUCGCAUCUUUGACCUCUGAAUUUCCAUCUUUCAAGGAAAACAAUCUUAAAAGUGAGGAAAUUAUGUGUAGCUAAAGUAGGAUGUUUAGGUUGCUAAGGAAAGAAAGUAGUGGUUGUUAACCAUGUG
rnacentral:lncRNA from 1 species